AAUGAACGCUGGCGGCAGGCCUAACACAUGCAAGUCGAGCGAAAACACAGGAAGAUCGCGCUCCUACCGGUGGCGAGUGACGGACGGGUGACGCAUACAUCGGAUACCACUUAGACGUGGGGAAUAACGUAGGGACACUUCUACUAAUACAGCAUAUGUCGUACGGGUGAAAGCAGGGGUUCAACGCAGUUUUCGCGACAGUAUUAGCCGAUGUCGGAUUAGCUAGUUGGCGAGGUAAAGGCACACCAAGGCGACGAUACGUAGCUGGUCUGAGAGGAUGAUCGGCCACACUGGAACUGAGACACGGUCCAGACUCCUACGGGAGGCAGCAGUGGGGAAUCUUGCGCAAUGGGCGAAAGCCUGAUCCAGCCAUACCGCGUGAGUGAUGAAGGCCUUCGGGUUGUAAAGCCCUUUUGUUGGGAAAGAACAAAAGCAGAUUUAACUCUGGAUGUUCUGACGGUACCCAAAGAAAAAGCACCGGCUAACUACGUG
rnacentral:rRNA from 1 species